rnacentral:snRNA from 1 species
AGCUUUGCUCAGUGGAAGUAUUGUAGCCAAUGAGGUAUCCGAGGUGUGAUUAUGGCUAAUUGAAAACUUUUCCCAAUACCCCGCCCGGCCAGCCCCCACCCAUGCACCAGACCUCUAUCCUAUAUAAUAAAAGCGUAAUAUGCAAACUGACCCUAGCAGCAGAAUGACUGGAAAUGACUGGUCA